UCGAACGAAGUAGCAAUACUUAGUGGCAGACGGGUGAGUAACAUGUAGGUAUCUGCCCUUUGGCCUGGAAUAACACGAGGAAACUUGUGCUAAUACCGGAUAAGUCUUUACGGAGAAAGCUUUAUGCACCAUUGGAUGAGCCUGCACUUGAUUAGUUUGUUGGUGGGGUAAUGGCCUACCAAGACUGUGAUCAAUAGCUGAUUUGAGAGGAUGAUCAGCCACAUUGGGACUGAGACACGGCCCAAACUCCUACGGGAGGCAGCAGUGGGGAAUCUUGCACAAUGGAGGAAACUCUGAUGCAGCGAUGCCGCGUGAGUGAAGAAGGCCCUUGGGUUGUAAAGCUCUUUCGUCGGGGAAGAAAAUGACUGUACCCGAAUAAGAAGGUCCGGCUAACUUCGUGCCAGCAGCCGCGGUAAUACGAAGGGACCUAGCGUAGUUCGGAAUUACUGGGCUUAAAGAGUUCGUAGGUGGUUGAAAUAGUUGGUGGUGAAAUCCCAGAGCUUAACUCUGGAACUGCCAUCAAAACUUUUCAGCUAGAGUAUGAUAGAGGAAAGCAGAAUUUCUAGUGUAGAGGUGAAAUUCGUAGAUAUUAGAAAGAAUACCAAUUGCGAAGGCAGCUUUCUGGAUCAUUACUGACACUGAGGAACGAAAGCAUGGGUAGCGAAGAGGAUUAGAUACCCUCGUAGUCCAUGCCGUAAACGAUGUGUGUUAGACGUUGGAAAUUUAUUUUCAGUGUCGCAGGGAAACCGAUAAACACACCGCCUGGGGAGUACGACCGCAAGGUUAAAACUCAAAUGAAUUGACGGGGACCCGCACAAGUAGUGGAGCAUGUGGUUUAAUUCGAAGAUACGCGCAGAACCUUACCAACACUUGACAUGUUCGUCGCGACUCUAAGAGAUUAGAGUUUUCGGUUCGGCCGGACGAAACACAGGUGCUGCAUGGCUGUCGUCAGCUCGUGUCGUGAGAUGUUGGGUUAAGUCCCGCAACGAGCGCAACCCUCACUUUUAGUUGCCAUCAUUAAGUUGGGCACUCUGAAAGAACUGCCAGUGAUAAGCUGGAGGAAGGUGGGGAUGACGUCAAGUCCUCAUGGCCCUUACGUGUUGG
rnacentral:rRNA from 1 species